GACGAACGCUGGCGGCGUGCCUAAUACAUGCAAGUAGAACGCACAGUUUAUACCGUAGCUUGCUACACCAUAGACUGUGAGUUGCGAACGGGUGAGUAACGCGUAGGUAACCUGCCUGGUAGCGGGGGAUAACUAUUGGAAACGAUAGCUAAUACCGCAUAAUAUUAAUUAUUGCAUGAUAAUUAAUUGAAAGGUGCAAUUGCACCACUACCAGAUGGACCUGCGUUGUAUUAGCUAGUAGGUGAGGUAACGGCUCACCUAGGCGACGAUACAUAGCCGACCUGAGAGGGUGGUCGGCCACACUGGGACUGAGACACGGCCCAGACUCCUACGGGAGGCAGCAGUAGGGAAUCUUCGGCAAUGGACGAAAGUCUGACCGAGCAACGCCGCGUGAGUGAAGAAGGGUUUCGGAUCGUAAAGCUCGGUUGUAAGAGAAGAACGGGUGUGAGAGUGGAAAGUUCACACUGUGACGGUAUCUUACCAGAAAGGGACGGCUAACUACGUG
rnacentral:rRNA from 1 species